rnacentral:lncRNA from 1 species
GGCAAGUUUCCAUAAUUUUUAUGAAUUUAUUGAAGAAUAUUUUGAGCUAAAGAAAAAGUUCAGGGACAGCCGAGACGUCUCCUGAUAGUUUCAGAGACGUCUCUGGCACAAACAGGAAGAACUGGCACACUUGGAGACGUCCCCGGCUCCUGUCGAGUCGUCCCCGCGUUAGCGGAGUCGACUCUCUCAGUAGCGGAGUCGACUCUCUCAGU